AAUAGGAAAAGGCCAUAGAGCAGCAUUGAGGAAACAAUAAUAGACAACAUAGCUAUUGUUGACUUAAAAUCAUCUAGACAUGUAAAGGUUUAUAGAUUUGUCAUGUUUGGUCUAUGCUGUUUAUAGCAUUUAAAUAUCCCAUCUGUAGGCUUGCAGAAUAAUAUGAUAACUACAAAAAUAAUAGACUAUACACCUUUAAAAUUUAGAUUCUACUAUACACCUUUAAGAAUUAGAUUCUUUGUCCAUUCAGAUUUUUUAAUGCUAAUUUAAAACUUUUAUUUUGUGUCCUUUCAUGGGGAAAUAUGCUUUCAAAUUAUACCCUGGCAUAAUUCAAAAUUACAUAGAUAUGUUCAUGAUGUUAUACCUUAAGAUAUGUUAGCUCACAAUUUAUUUUGACUUCAACAUUCCUUCACAUCUAUAUCUAAAAUACUAACUCACCAAAAU
rnacentral:lncRNA from 1 species